CUACCUAACCUAGCGGCGGACGGGUGAGUAAUGCUUAGGAAUCUGCCAUUUAGUGGGGGACAACAUUCCGAAAGGAAUGCUAAUACCGCAUACGUCCUACGGGAGAAAGCAGGGGAUCUUCGGACCUUGCGCUAAAUGAUGAGCCUAAGUCGGAUUAGCUAGUUGGUGGGGUAAAGGCCUACCAAGGCGACGAUCUGUAGCGGGUCUGAGAGGAUGAUCCGCCACACUGGGACUGAGACACGGCCCAGACUCCUACGGGAGGCAGCAGUGGGGAAUAUUGGACAAUGGGCGGAAGCCUGAUCCAGCCAUGCCGCGUGUGUGAAGAAGGCCUUUUGGUUGUAAAGCACUUUAAGCGAGGAGGAGGCUACUAGUACUAAUACUACUGGAUAGUGGACGUUACUCGCAGAAUAAGCACCGGCUAACUCUGUGCCAGCAGCCGCGGUAAUACAGAGGGUGCGAGCGUUAAUCGGAUUUACUGGGCGUAAAGCGUGCGUAGGCGGCU
rnacentral:rRNA from 1 species